GGCUUAUUGAUCGGGCUAAUGAGAAGGGAUGGCGAAGAGAAUAUCCU
rnacentral:sRNA from 1 species